rnacentral:tRNA from 1 species
ACCGGGUCGCGCUGGCGCGACCGGCCUCGUAGGCCGGCAGGGACCGGUCGGCCGGGGUCAUGCCCAGUUCGAACCCGGACUUCGUC